rnacentral:rRNA from 1 species
GGGUUAAACCUACCUAUAAGACGUGGGAACAACGUUACGGGAAACCGGAGCUAAUACCGGAUAAGAUAUCGAACCGCAUGGUUCGAUAGUGAAAGAUGGUUUUGCUAUCACUUAUAGAUGGACCCGCGCCGUAUUAGCUAGUUGGUGAGGUAACGGCUCACCAAGGCAACGAUACGUAGCCGACCUGAGAGGGUGAUCGGCCACACUGGAACUGAGACACGGUCCAGACUCCUACGGGAGGCAGCAGCC